rnacentral:rRNA from 1 species
GACGUAGGGCGCGAGCGUUGUCCGGAUUUAUUGGGCGUAAAGAGCUCGUAGGCGGCUUGUCGCGUCGAAUGUGAAAACUCGGGGGCUCAACUCCGAGCUUGCAUUCGAUACGGGCAGGCUAGAGUUCGGUAGGGGGAGACUGGAAUUCCUGGUGUAGCGGUGAAAUGCGCAGAUAUCAGGAGGAACACCGGUGGCGAAGGCGGGUCUCUGGGCCGAUACUGACGCUGAGGAGCGAAAGCGUGGGGAGCGAACAGG